rnacentral:rRNA from 1 species
UCGCCUGUUUAUCAAAAACAUGUCUUUUAGAAAUUAAUUUAAAGUCUAACCUGCCCACUGAAUUUUUAAAUGGCCGCAGUAUUCUAACUGUGCAAAGGUAGCAUAAUCAUUAGUCUUUUAAUUGAAGGCUGGAAUGAAUGGUUGAAUGAAAUAUUAACUGUUUCAAUUUAAUUUAUUAUAGAAUUUUAUUUUUUAGUCAAAAAGCUAAAAUUUUUUUAAAAGACGAGAAGACCCUAUAAAUCUUUAUAAUUUUAUAUAUUAUUUAUAUUUAGAUUAUUUAGUUUUUAAUAUAUAAAAUUAUUUUAUUGGGGUGAUAUUGAAAUUUAUAAAACUUUUAAUUAAUAUUUAACAUUAAUUAAUGAAUUAUUGAUCCAUAAUAAUGAUUAAAAAAUUAAGUUACUUUAGGGAUAACAGCGUAAUUUUUUUAGAGAGUUCACAUUGAUAAAAAAGAUUGCGACCUCGAUGUUGGAUUAAGAUAUAAAUUUAGGUGCAGUAGUUUAAAUUUAAAGUCUGUUCGACUUAUAGUUUCUUACAUGAUCUGAGUUCAAACCGGAGA